rnacentral:rRNA from 1 species
AUGCUGGAAGGAAUUAGGACUAAAUUGAUGGUGAAGUUUAACACAAAUAGAACCAAGACAGAGACAACAAAUUGGGAGAUUUGCCCAACAUAUGCAGAGAUGUUAGAGGAGGCAAAGUACAACUCAAGGUGGUGCCAAUCUUUGAUGGCUGGUCCUAGCAUUUACCAAGUUAGUAGUGGAGAUAACACCUACUCAGUCAACUUGCUGCACAGAACAUGUGGAUGUAGGAAAUGGGAUAUGACUGCUAUGCCUUGCAAUCAUGCAGUAUCUGCAAUUGUGAAGGCUAAGUUGCAACCUGAAGACUUUGUUGAUGAUUUCUUCAAGAAGGCAAUGUACCAGAAAGCAUAUGGGCAUAUCAUAUUUCCUGUCCCUGGUCCAAAUCUGUGGCCAAGGACAAGAACUCAGGACAUAGAGCCUCCAGUUUUCAGAGACAAAGUAGGGAAGCAACAAACAAAGAGGAGGAAAAACCCGUUUGAGAAGGCAGCACCAAGAGAUACAUCUAGGAUGGCAUCCAUUACUUGUAGCAACUGCAAACUUGUGGGGCACAGAUACACUGUGUGCUCCAAGCCCUUGAAACCAGCUCUUGCAAUGAGACAAAACCAACAUCAGCCAAACAGGUCAAAUGCUUCUGCUUCAUCUACAGCUGCUGCACCAACAAGGAAGAGGCCAUCUCCAUCUACAGAUGUUGGGACUGCUCCUGCCAGGAAGAAAGCUGCACCUGCUGCACCUGCUGCUACUGCACCUGCUGCUACUGCACCUACUGCUCCUCCAAAGAGGAGAGCUGCACCUGCUGCUACUGCACCUACUGCUCCUCCAAAGAGGAGAGCUGCACCUGCUGCUACUGCACCUACUGCUCCUCCCAGGAGGUCUCCAAGGAAGAAUGCUACCCCAACACCUACUGCUCCUCCAAGGAGGUCUCCCAGGAAGAAAACUACCCAAGCUGGUGCAUCUUCUACAUCUGCUGCAGGCCCUAGGGGAGCAUUUCAUGCUCCAAGACAGACUGGAAGGAAGAGGACAGUUUCCUACAAGAUGAAGGAGUACCUAUAUGCUUCUGGGAACUAG